CAAAGGUAGCAUAAUCAUUAGGGGUUUAAUUGAAACCUGGUAUGAAGGGUUGGACAAAGGAGAGACUGUCUGCAAAGUAAAAUUCGAAAUUUACUUUUAAGUGAAAAGGCUUAAAUAAAUCAAAGGGACGAUAAGACCCUAUAAAGCUUUAUAAAUAAAUUUUGAUUUAAUCUAUUUUAAGAUUAUAAAGAUUAGGUUCAAGUUAUAUUAUUUCGUUGGGGUGAUGUGAGCAUAAAUAUUGUUAACUGCUUAAGAAAAACACUGAGAUAAUAGGAUUAAUAAAAAUGAUCCUUUUUAAAGAUUAAAAGACUAAGUUACUUUAGGGAUAACAGCGUUAUUUCUUUUGAGAGUUCAUAUCGAAAAAGAAGAUUGCGACCUCGAUGUUGAAUUAAAAAAUCUUCAUAAUGCAGCCGUUAUAAAAGAGGGUCUGUUCGACCUUUAAAUUUUUACAUGAUUUGAGUU
rnacentral:rRNA from 1 species